CCUACGGGAGGCAGCAGUGAGGAAUAUUGGUCAAUGAGCGUAAGCCUGAACCAGCCAAGUCGCGUGCGGGAUGAAGGUUCUAUGGAUCGUAAACCUCUUUUAUAAGGGAAUAAAGUGUGGGUCGUGUCCUAUUGUGUAUGUACCUUAUGAAUAAGGAUCGGCUAACUCCGUGCCAGUAACCCCCGUACUGCGGAGGAUCCGAGCGUUUUCCGGAUUGGUUUGGUUUAAAGGGUGCGUAGGCGGCCUUUUAAGUCAGCGGUGAAAGUCAGUGGCUCAACCAUAGAAUCGCCGUUGAAACUGGGGGGCUUGAGUAUGUUUGAGGUAGGCGGAAUGCGUGGUGUAGCGGUGAAAUGCUUAGAUAUAACGCAGAACCCCGAUUGCGAAGGCAGCCUGCUAAGCCAUGACUGACGCUGAGGCACGAAAGCGUGGGGAUCAAACAGGAUUAGAUACCCUAGUAGUC
rnacentral:rRNA from 1 species